UGGGGAAUAUUGCGCAAUGGGGGAAACCCUGACGCAGCGACGCCGCGUGGACGAUGAAGGCCUUCGGGUUGUAAAGUCCUGUUCUGGGGGAAGAAACCUUAAGGGUCCAAUAAACCCUUAAGCUGACGGUACCCCAAGAGAAAGCUCCGGCUAAUUAUGUGCCAGCAGCCGCGGUAAUACAUAAGGAGCAAGCGUUAUCCGGAAUUAUUGGGCGUAAAGGGCUCGUAGGCGGUCUUAAAAGUCAGGUGUGAAAUUAUCAGGCUCAACCUGAUAAGGUCAUCUGAAACUUUAAGACUCGAGGAUAGAAGAGGAAAGUGGAAUUCCCGGUGUAGCGGUGAAAUGCGUAGAUAUCGGGAGGAAUACCAGUGGCGAAGGCGGCUUUCUGGUCUAAUUCUGACGCUGAGGAGCGAAAGCUAGGGGAGCAAACGGGAUUAGAUACCCCGGUAGUCCUAGCUGUAAACGAUGGAUACUAGGUGUGGGAGGUAUCGACCCCUUCUGUGCCGCAAGCUAACGCUAUUAAGUAUCCCGCCUGGGGAAGUACGGUCGCAAGGCUGA
rnacentral:rRNA from 1 species